UUGAAUGAACUUGGUGUGGUUGUUGCUGGUCUUCUUGGGGACAUGUGCACACCCGCCAUCCUCAUCCCUCCACCUGUGCACUUUUUGUAGACAUGGAUAGACUUGCCGAGGUAACUCGGUUGGGAGGAAUGCUGCAUCAGCUUUCUUUGCAAUUCCAAGCCUACGUUUUUUCAUAUACCCAUAGUAUGUACCAGAAUGUGUCAUUGGGCCUCUGUGCCUAUAAACCUUAUA
rnacentral:misc_RNA from 1 species